CCCCACCCCAAGCUGCAUGCUAGGUAGAAGAGUAUAACUACUCCCUACAGAAGAGGACCGUUCCCUCAGUCAAGGAUGUAUGAGUAGCAGCGCUCCUCUGCUAAAAUCUCCAAAAACAAGCUCUUUAAAAAAAAAAGCCUGGUCC
rnacentral:sRNA from 1 species